rnacentral:rRNA from 1 species
AUUGAACGCUGGCGGCAGGCCUAACACAUGCAAGUCGAGCGAGCGGCGGACGGGUGAGUAAUGACUGGGAAACUGCCUGAUGGAGGGGGAUAACUACUGGAAACGGUAGCUAAUACCGCAUACCAUCAGAUGUGCCCAGAUGGGCUUAGCUAGUAGGUGGGGUAACGGCUCACCUAGGCGACGAUCCCUAGCUGGUCUGAGAGGAUGACCAGCCACACUGGAACGGAGACACGGUACAGACUCCUACGGGAGGCAGCGGUGGGGAAUAGUGCACAAGUGGCUCAACCCUGAUGCAGCCAUGCCGCGUGGGUGAAGGAGGCCUUCGGGUUGUAGAGCACUUUCAGCGGGGAGGCGUUACCCGAAGAAGAAGCACCGGCUAACUCCGUGCCAGCAGCCGCGGUAAUAC